rnacentral:rRNA from 1 species
UACGUAGGGGGCUAGCGUUGUCCGGAUUUAUUGGGCGUAAAGAGCGUGUAGGCGGCUUGGCAAGUCUGCUGUGAAAACUCGAGGCUCAACCUCGAGCUGUCGGUGGAAACUGCCUGGCUAGAGUCCGGAAGAGGAGAGUGGAAUUCCUGGUGUAGCAGUGAAAUGCGUAGAUAUCAUAAGGAAGACCAGUGGCGAAGGCGGGUCUCUGGACAGUUCCUGACACUGAGACACGAAGGCCAGGGGAGCAAACGGG